AAUUUUCAAUGGCAAUAUUUACUAGUUCUAGAAAAUACAGUAGAUGAUAAAUUUAUAACGGCUUUGAUAGCUUUGAAAUCAACGCCGCGAAGAAAUUUUGCCGCUCAGUCAGUAGGGUUCAAUCUCGUAAAUUCAUCCCAAAUCCAAACAUGACGUAUUUUUCUGGGAAUUUCUUCCAUGGAACAGCCAUCAAAAUUCAGUGUCGAGUGUUUCUAAUUCCCUGGUUAAAAGGAACGGUGGUAUAAUUAGCUGCGCUAAAGGAAGAAGUUACAGUAGCUCUCCUCUAGUCAGAUACAUCCCCAGGAAAGCUGUAAAGAAAGAAGAAAAUGGAGCUAAUUCUUUGCCUCCGAGGUAUUUGGAGCAAAAGCGGAUUGGUCCGGAGUCGAGUGUUGGGAGGUUUGAGUUCUACAACGAACCAAGCAGGAGCAAUUUGGAUGUUAAUUCCAAGAGUGAUGGCCCAUGCCUUCCUUCUGAUGUAGAUUAUGAGUUAAAUCUGGCGGUGGAAGAAGAUAUUGAUGGAGAUUUGACGGCUGUGGCCGAUGAAUUCAUCGAAGAGCCUGACAAGGCUGUCGAAGAUAAUAGAUGCUGUGGAAUUCGGUCAGGUCCGUAGUUGGCAAGAUGUGCAGAAUUCUGCUAUUGAGUUGCUUGCGUCCAGAGCAUUUACGUCUAUGGAGCUGAAGAAGAAACUGCAAGGAAAGAAAUUUCAACAUGAAACUAUUGAUGCAGUCAUAACGGACUUCCAGAGCAGGGGUCUGAUUAAUGAUUGCUUAUAUGCGGAAACAUAUACCCGAUCCAGAUGGUCUUCCUCAAGCUGGGGCCCUCGCCGAAUCAGACAAG